ACAAGGGUUACCCUUGUUCUUGCAAAAUUCACCAAUUGACAAGGAAAAAUCAAAGUUUAAUUGCUGCAUGUUCUAAAGUUUCAAUCAUCUAAGCAUAUCUAGUGAAGUGGCGUGAAGGAAGAAGGUUCAAAUUCCAAGAAAUCGGAAGGAUCACAAGACCGAGGUAAAUCCUCGACUUAGGCGAUUAGAUGGCUUGGAACGUGCACACUUGAUCUACGCCCGCCUCACGCUUCCGUCACAAAUU